rnacentral:rRNA from 1 species
GACGAACGUUGGCGGCGUGCUUAACACAUGCAAGUCGAACGGAAAGGCCCUGCUUUUGUGGGGUGCUCGAGUGGCGAACGGGUGAGUAACACGUGAGUAACCUGCCCUUGACUUUGGGAUAACUUCAGGAAACUGGGGCUAAUACCGGAUAGGAGCUCCUGCUGCAUGGUGGGGGUUGGAAAGUUUCGGCGGUUGGGGAUGGACUCGCGGCUUAUCAGCUUGUUGGUGGGGUAGUGGCUUACCAAGGCUUUGACGGGUAGCCGGCCUGAGAGGGUGACCGGCCACAUUGGGACUGAGAUACGGCCCAGACUCCUACGGGAGGCAGCAGUGGGGAAUAUUGCACAAUGGGCGGAAGCCUGAUGCAGCAACGCCGCGUGCGGGAUGACGGCCUUCGGGUUGUAAACCGCUUUCGCCUGUGACGAAGCGUGAGUGACGGUAAUGGGUAAAGAAGCACCGGCUAACUACGUGCCAGCAGCCGCGGUGAUACGUAGGGUGCGAGCGUUGUCCGGAUUUAUUGGGCGUAAAGGGCUCGUAGGUGGUUGAUCGCGUCGGAAGUGUAAUCUUGGGGCUUAACCCUGAGCGUGCUUUCGAUACGGGUUGACUUGAGGAAGGUAGGGGAGAAUGGAAUUCCUGGUGGAGCGGUGGAAUGCGCAGAUAUCAGGAGGAACACCAGUGGCGAAGGCGGUUCUCUGGGCCUUUCCUGACGCUGAGGAGCGAAAGCGUGGGGAGCGAACAGGCUUAGAUACCCUGGUAGUCCACGCUGUAAACGGUGGGUACUAGGUGUGGGGUCCAUUCCACGGGUUCCGUGCCGUAGCUAACGCUUUAAGUACCCCGCCUGGGGAGUACGGCCGCAAGGCUAAAACUCAAAGGAAUUGACGGGGCCCCGCACAAGCGGCGGAGCAUGCGGAUUAAUUCGAUGCAACGCGUAGAACCUUACCUGGGUUUGACAUGGAUCGGGAGUGCUCAGAGAUGGGUGUGCCUCUUUUGGGGUCGGUUCACAGGUGGUGCAUGCCUGUCGUCAGCUCGUGUCGUGAGAUGUUGGGUUAAGUCCCGCAACGAGCGCAACCCUUGUUCACUGUUGCCAGCACGUUAUGGUGGGGACUCAGUGGAGACCGCCGGGGUCAACUCGGAGGAAGGUGGGGAUGACGUCAAGUCCUCAUGCCCCUUAUGUCCAGGGCCUCACGCAUGCUACAAUGGCUGGUACAGAGAGUGGCGAGCCUGUGAGGGUGAGCGAAUCUCGGAAAGCCGGUCUCAGUUCGGAUUGGGGUCUGCAACUCGACCUCAUGAAGUCGGAGUCGCUAGUAAUCGCAGAUCAGCAACGCUGCGGUGAAUACGUUCCCGGG